GGGGUUGCAGCUCAGUGGUAGAGUGUGUGCUCAGUGUGCAUGAGGCCUUGGGUUCAAUCUCCAACACUACA
rnacentral:tRNA from 1 species